GAGUUGGCAGAAACGUUAGCACGCCGGGCGAAAUGCUUAGCGGUAUUUCGCCUGUCUUUACGUUUUGAGUUCAAAUUUCGCCGAGGUUGACUUUGCCUUUCAUCCAUUUCAGAUCUAUUCAAUUAGACGUACAGCUUAUUUAAUUAUUUUUUUUUUUAUCUAAACACUUUGAAACUUCUGAUACUGGUAGAAUGUGUCACAUAGAACAGGGUUUAUUCUUAACGUUUUUGACAAAAUUUUGUAUUUUAGAAGUUAUUUUGUCAGAAGUUACAGAGUGAAAAUGGAUAAAUUCAUGUUUGAUAAGUUCCAAUACACGAAACUGUCAGCUUUUGAUUUACUCUCUAACUUCUGCCGAUGAUAUAAAUACAUAUUAUAUAUAUGUGUAAAAAAAUCUCAUUAUGCA